CUGCAGCCCGAGUGGUGAUCGAUUUUAUUGAGCCUAAAGCGUCCGUAGCCGGACUAGUAAACCCUUGGGUAAAUUGGGCAGCUUAACUGUCCAAAUUCCGAGGGGACUGCUAGUCUUGGGACCGGGAGAGGUCAGAGGUACUCCAGGGGUAGGGGCUAAAUCCUGUAAUCCUUGGGGGACCACCAGUGGCGAAGGCGUCUGACUAGAACGGAUCCGACGGUAAGGGACGAAACCCUGGGGCGCGAACCGGAUUAGAGACCCGUGUAGUCC
rnacentral:rRNA from 1 species